GAGGAAUAUUGGUCAAUGGGCGAGAGCCUGAACCAGCCAAGUAGCGUGAAGGAUGACUGCCCUAUGGGUUGUAAACUUCUUUUAUAAAGGAAUAAAGUCGGGUAUGGAUACCCGUUUGCAUGUACUUUAUGAAUAAGGAUCGGCUAACUCCGUGCCAGCAGCCGCGGUAAUACGGAGGAUCCGAGCGUUAUCCGGAUUUAUUGGGUUUAAAGGGAGCGUAGAUGGAUGUUUAAGUCAGUUGUGAAAGUUUGCGGCUCAACCGUAAAAUUGCAGUUGAUACUGGAUAUCUUGAGUGCAGUUGAGGCAGGCGGAAUUCGUGGUGUAGCGGUGAAAUGCUUAGAUAUCACGAAGAACUCCGAUUGCGAAGGCAGCCUGCUAAGCUGCAACUGACAUUGAGGCUCGAAAGUGUGGGUAUCAAAC
rnacentral:rRNA from 1 species